ensembl:lncRNA
GUCCAUUUGUUGCAAUUUGGGGCCAUUUUGGGGCCAUUUGUUGCGAUUUGGGGCCAUUUGGGGUGCAUUUGUGGCGACUUGGGGCCGUUUGGGGGCCAUUUGUUGCAAUUUGGGCCAUUUGGGGUCCAUUUGUUGCAAUUUGGGGCCAUUUGGGGGCGAUUUGGGGCUGUUUGGGGCCGUUUGGGUCCAUUUGGGGCCAAUUUGUUGCAAUUUGGGGCCGUUUUGGGUCCAUUUGUUGUGAUUUGGGGCCGUUUGGGGCCAUUUUGGGUCCAUUUGUUGCAACUUGGGGCCAUUUGGGGUCCAUUUGUGGCGAUUUGGGGCUGUUUGGGGGCCAUUUGUGGUGAUUUGGGGCCAUUUUGGGGCCAUUUGGGUUCCAUUUGUGGCGAUUCGGGGCCGUUUGGGGUCUAUUUGGGGCCACUUGGGGUCUAUUUGGGGCCACUUGGGGUCUAUGUGGGGCCAUUUGGGGUCUCUUUGUGGCGAUGUGGGGCGGUUUUGGGGCCCACCUGGAGAUGCAGGCCCUGCACCCAGUGCCCCACAGGCCGGUACGCCCCGCUGCCGUUGCUCCACUGGAACUGGAAGAUGUCGUAGCGCCCCGGCGCGUCGCCGUUCUCGUUGAACAUCACCGGCGUGCCGGCGCUGCCUGCGCCAGUACGGACCGGUAUCAACCAGUACGGACCAGUGUAAACCAGUACGGACCGGUGUAAACCAGUACGGACCAGUAUAAACCAGUACGGACCGGUAUAAACCAGUACGGACCGGUAUCAACCAGUACGGACCGGUGUAAACCAGUACGGACCAGUGUAAACCAAUACGAACCGGUAUAAACCAGUAUGGAGCGGUAUAAACCAGUACGGACCAGUAUAAACCAGUACGGAGCGGUAUAAACCAGUACGGAGCGGUAUAAACCAGUACGGACCGGUGUAAACCAGUACGGACCAGUAUCAACCAGUACGGACCGGUGUAAACCAGUACGGAGCAGUAUCAACCAGUACGGACCAGUAUAAACCAGUACGGACCAGUAUCAACCAGUACGGACCGGUGUAAACCAGUACGGACCAGUAUCAACCAGUACGGACCGGUGUAAACCAGUACGGACCGGUAUAAACCAGUACAGACCGGUGUAAACCAGUAUGGACCAGUGUAAACCAGUACGGACCGGUGUAAACCAGUACGGACCAGUAUAAACCAGUAUGGAUCGGUAUAAACCAGUACGGACCAGUGUAAACCAGUACGGACCAGUAUAAACCAGUACAGACCGGUGUAAACCAGUACGGACCGGUGUAAACCAGUACGGACCAGUAUAAACCAGUACGGACCAGUGUAAACCAGUACAGACCGGUGUAAACCAGUACGGACCAGUAUAAACCAGUACGGAGCGGUAUAAACCAAUACGAACCAGUAUAAACCAGUACGGACCAGUAUAAACCAGUACAGACCGGUAUAAACCAGUACGGACCGGUGUAAACCAGUAUGGACCAGUAUAAACCAGUACAGACCAGUGUAAACCAGUACAGACCGGUAUAAACCAGUACGGACCAGUGUAAACCAGUACAGACCAGUGUAAACCAGUACAGACCGGUAUAAACCA